CGGGGCGUCGCGGAACGCAUGCGCGCGGGCCUCCUUUGCCGGAGCCGCGCUCGCGUCUGGGUACCCGGAGCUGGAGUCGGGGCCGCCAUGUUUCCCGCGGGCCUCCGGCCAGGCCCUUCGUGCUCUAACCCGGCACCGGCUCGGAUUCCAAGGAGGCCGGUCCAGAGGGAAGAGACUGAGCUCAAGGGCAACCGUAGUGAGCCCUGAUGUCCGAGAAGGCUUCGUGGAGCCUAUCACAUCCGUCCCGCCCCUUCGUCUUCCCACCACCACGGCAGGCCUCCAUUCCUGGCCCAUUUUAGAGAUUGAGAAACCGAGCCUUCAUAGGGCGGCCCAGUGCCUUGGACAGAAACCCCAUAAAGUGCGGGAUGGAGAGGAGACAUUCCUCCACCCGUUUGCACUCACCUGGGCAAGUGGCGGGAGUGGGAAACAGGGGGACCCCAUGUGAUGUUCCAGAAAAGCAGCUGGGGACGUGGGGAAGCCAGUCUGUCACACACAGCCAGGGCUUGGUGUUCUCCCGUUGAACACACACAAUUUCAUAAAACCUCAACGUCAGGCUAUGAUGGAUCAAGACAAAGGAGGCCACUCUAAGCAUGUCUGAAAACAAAACAUGAGUUUUGUCUAAGCUGCCAAAUGACCAAACAUCCCUCUUGGCUAGUAAGAGUAACCACUUUUUCUUUACCAAUUCCAAGUUCAAGCUUUGUCUGGUCUUCCUACCUGCUAGAUAAGAUGUAUUAAGACACCUAGUUAAGGAAUUACAUCCUCUGCCUGACAUUAUCCAAUCCAGGGCAGAGCCCCUCCUUCCUUAAAAGUUUCCCCAAGUCAACUAACACAAACCCAAGUCUUAGACGUCCUUUCCAGAAUCCCCUUACUGAGGCUUCCCAUGGUUGUGGUCUCCCUCGAUGAGUAAUAAACCCAACUCGUUCCACUGCAGAUGUGUUUCUGGUGAUCUGGGACUUUAGGACAUUGACUGGCCCAGCCUUCGUGCCUCUCAUCUACUGGACUGCUCACUCACCACUAUUUGAAACCUGCACUGCUCUCUUCUGAUCCUCAACAGAUUUGUGACACCCGUCCUGCUAGGACACUCUCUCUCCCUUGCUGGCUUUGAAGAAGCAAGUUGCCAUGUUGUGGGGUGCAAUAUGGAGAGGACCAUGGCCAGUAACUAAGGGUGGCUUCCAGCUGACAGUCAGCAAGAAACUAAGGCCUUCAGUCCAAGAGCCCACAAGGAGAUGCAUGCUUCUAAGAACUAUGUGAGCUUGGAAGCGCCUCCUUCCUAGUGGCUCAGAUGAGCCCCCAGCCCUGGUCAACACCUUGAUUGCAGCCUUGCAGAGGACUUGGUUGUGCCUGGACUCCUGACCCCUGGAAACUGUGGGAUACUUGAUGGAUGUGGUUUUCAGCAGCCACGUUUGUGGUAAUUUGUUAUACAGCAGUAGAUAACUGAUACACCCUCCAUCACCAAAUCCUAUCCGUUUUAUCCCCUGAAUGCCUUUUGAAUCCACCCCUGAGCUCACCCCAAUUCUGUGUGACCCAAUCACAGCCUCCUUUCAGGCUUCUCCCUCAGGCCUUAUCAAUCCCUUAUACUUGGCUUUCUCUCUCUUGUCCCAGGACAUUUUCUCCUGUGGGUUCCUUGGUUUGGAAUGUUCUCCUGGGUCCCCUUCUCCUGGGUAAAUUCCACUCAUUCCUCAGAUUUCAUCUAAGUCAUCAAUUCCUCAGGAAAACUUUUCUUGAGUGUCCUAAGUAAAAUCCGCCUUGACACCUCUCCUGUAUAGCUUUGGUCAUAGUUGCAGUUUUACAGUUAUCUCUGUAAUUAUUUCAUUAAUGACUGUAUCCUCCAUCAGAAUGUUGGCUGUAGGUGAUCAGGAACUGUGUUUGGUUUUGCACAUUGCUGUACCCCCGGCAGCUCGCACAUAAUAGGUGCUUCCAUAUAUUGAAUAAAUGAAUGGAGGCGUAAA